GAACNNUGGCGGCAGGCUUAACCCAUGCAAGNCNAACNAUAAGCUCUNUUCNGAGAGUAGACAGUGGCAGACGGGUGAGUAACGCGUNGCAACCUACCUAGUAGUACGGAAUAACUCUNAGAAAUGAGUGCUAAUACCGUAUACGCCCUUCGGGGGAAAGAUUCAUCGCUAUUAGAUGGGNCNGCGUUAGAUUAGCUAGUUGGUGAGGUAAGAGCUCACCAAGGCGACGAUCUAUAGCGGGUCUGAGAGGAUGAUCNGCCACACUGGGACUGAGACACGGCCCAGACUCCUACGNGAGGCAGCAGUGGGGAAU
rnacentral:rRNA from 1 species